GUCAGCUUGGUGGAAUUGGUAGACACGACAGAUUUAAAAUCUGUUUCUUGUAAGAGAGUAUCGGUUCGAGUCCGAUAGCUGAUA
rnacentral:tRNA from 2 species